CCCGGGUCGGGCGACGGCGGGCCCGCCGCCUGGGGAGCGGCGCCGGUGUUCCGGGGGCCGUUGCACUCCGUCGUACGGGUC
rnacentral:tRNA from 1 species